GACGAACGCUGGCGGCGUGCUUAACACAUGCAAGUCGAACGGAAAGGCCUGCUUUCCCUUGUGGAUUGCGGGUACUCGAGUGGCGAACGGGUGAGUAACACGAGAGUGAUCUGCCCCCAACUUGGGUAUAAGCCUGGGAAACUGGGUCUAAUUCCCGAUAGGACUGCAGGGUGGUGCCUGUGGUGGAAAACGAUUUUCUAGUGGUUGGGGAUGAGCUCGCGGCCUAUCAGCUUGUUGGUGGGGUAAUGGCCUACCAAGGCGGCGACGGGUAGCCGGCCUGAGAGGGUGGACGGCCACAUUGGGACUGAGAUACGGCCCAGACUCCUACGGGAGGCAGCAGUGGGGAAUAGUGCACAAUGGGCGGAAGCCUGAUGCAGCGACGCCGCGUGGGGGAUGACGGCCUUCGGGUUGUAAACUCCUUUCGACCGCGAGGAAGCCACCUGGUUGGAAGGGUGGUGACGGUAGUGGUAGAAGAAGCACCGGCUAACUACGUG
rnacentral:rRNA from 1 species